rnacentral:rRNA from 1 species
AACGAACGCUGGCGGCAUGCCUAACACAUGCAAGUCGAACGAUAUCUUCGGGUCUAGUGGCUCACGGGUGCGUAACGCGUGGGGAUCUGCUCUUUGGCUCGGCAUAACCGCUGGAAACGACUGCUAAUACCGGAUGAUGACGAAAGUCCAAAGAUUUAUCGCCAGAGGAUGAGCUCGCGUAGGAUUGGCUCGUUGGUGUGGUAAGGGCGCACCAAGGCGACGAUCCUUAGCUGGUCUGAGAGGAUGAACAGCCACACUGGGACUGAGACACGGCCCAGACUGAUACGGGAGGCAGCAGUGGGGAAUAUUGGACAAUGGGCGAAAGCCAGAUCCAGCAAUGCCGCGUGAUUGAUGAAGGCCUUAGGGUUGUAAAGCUCUUUUACUCGGGAUGCUAAUGACAGUACCGGGAGAAUAAGCUCCGCCUAACUCCGUGCCAGCCGCCGCCGUAA